rnacentral:vault_RNA from 13 species
GCGCCGGUUUAGCUCAGUGCUAGGUUCGACCACGAGCGCUGUCUGGCGUUUUG